GACGAACGCUGGCGGCGUGCCUAAUACAUGCAAGUUGAGCGAUGAAGAUCGGUUCUUGCACCAAUUUGAAGAGCAGCGCACGGGUGAGUAACGCGUGGGGAAUCUGCCUUUGAGCGGGGGACAACAUUUGGAAACGAAUGCUAAUACCGCAUAACAACUUUAAACAUAAGUUUUAAGUUUGAAAGAUGCAAUUGCAUCACUCAAAGAUGAUCCCGCGUUGUAUUAGCUAGUUGGUGAGGUAAAGGCGCACCAAGGCGAUGAUACAUAGCCGACCUGAGAGGGUGAUCGGCCACAUUGGGACUGAGACACGGCCCAAACUCCUACGGGAGGCAGCAGUAGGGAAUCUUCGGCAAUGGACGAAAGUCUGACCGAGCAACGCCGCGUGAGUGAAGAAGGUUGUCGGAUCGUAAAACUCUGUUGGUAGAGAAGAACGUUGGUGAGAGUGGAAAGCUCAUCAAGUGACGGUAACUACUCAGAAAGGGACGGCUAACUACGUG
rnacentral:rRNA from 1 species